rnacentral:lncRNA from 1 species
ACCUCUCCCCAAUGCUUCUUAGGCCUCCCUCUCCCUCGCCGACCACCAACAAUCUCCAACCGCCCGCAGCUCCUCACCGGGGCAUCGGGGCCACUCCUCCGAACAGCCCGAACCACCUCAGCCUCGCUUCCCGCAUCUUUUCGUCCACCGGGGCCACCCAUACCUUCUGUCGAAUAACUUCAUUCUUGAUCUUUUCCAGCCUGGUGUGCCCACACAUCCACCUAAGCAUCCUCAUCUCCGCAACCUUCAUUCUCUGAACAUGCGAGUUCUUCACGGGCCAGCACUCCGCCCCANNNN